rnacentral:lncRNA from 1 species
GAAAUCAUUUUCUAUAUUAUAUUUAUUAAUCCAAAUGAAUAUCAUCAGAUGAAAGAGAAAUCCCAUUACCACAUAAAUUGAGAUUCUGGUAGCUGUAGGCCUACAAACAACACUAUAAAUGCUUCUUUGUCAGGCUAAUCUAUAUUAUUUUACUAUUGAAAGUAAAUACUUAAUGAGUACAAACCAUAGUUACCUAAAAAAUAAAUUUAUCAAGUUUAGAAAGUUGAUAAAAAAAACUUAUAAUUCAAAAUUCAGAUGGCAAUUUGAAUACAAAAGACCAUUGAAUAUUAAUAUAUCACACUGCAGUUAUUAUCACAACUAAAAUAACAUUGUAAAAAUUAUAUAAAAACAACCAUUUUUUAAAACUUAAGUAAAACAUAUAAUUAAAUUACAUACUACUACAAAGUAAAAAUAACUAAAAAAGUGAAAACCAGUUCAUUACAAGAAUAAAUGGAAUAUACUAAAUAUCAAGAAUAUAAUUAAAUAUAAUUAUUCUACAACCACAAUAUAUGAAUCAUAAAAACUAAAAACUUGACUAUGCAUGAUCUAACAUAUAUUUUUAUUAGUAGUUAAAAUAUAGUUAGGUAUUUAAGUCAUCUUAUUUUGCAUGAACAGUACUGGUAUGAGAAAUUACGAAAAGGUGCACCAUUUACAAUUACAUCUAUCAUCUAUAGUAUUUUUUAUGUACGAUUAAAGUAUUUUAGUAUGAUGCCAUUAAAAACUUGCACUAACUUGAUAUUCGGAACAACACUUAUAAAAACGUUGGCAUGAUUUACAUUGAAUAAGCACUAAAAAAAAAUACAGGAGACUUUGCAAGCACAACAAUUUGUUACAAUGAUUUAGACACAGGCUUGUGAAUUAUGCUUUGACAUAACCUAGAUUCCAAGUCAUAACUGCAUUUACUCAAGCCAGUUUCUUUUAUUAUAAUUAUUCUUAAAUUAAUCUGGUACAGGGCAACGGAAAGCCUCAAUCACAUGUUAUUUUUUUAGCAGCCAAAGGUGACGCUGUACAAAAAUUACAAUAUGGAUUAAAGAUUAGACUUACGGCAAUCUAUAAUCAUCAGUAAUGGGUUUCAUAUGAUUUUAGUCAUUAUUAAAUACUCCUACUGAGGACAGCUAAAUGUUUAGUUAAAAAUAGUUCAUACAUAUCAUUUACAAUUAAUCCAUUUAAAAAUAUUGACUGAUGCAAAAUCUUAUUUAAUCUACUUCAUGCAUUUCUGAAUAUGUAUAACCUAAUUGUAUAUAAUUACAUAUGAAUAUUUACGAAUUCAAUGGUUUCCAGGUUUAGUGCAAUCUUUUUAAAUAUUUUAAUUUUUACUGUUAAUGUUAAACCGGGCACACUGCGGCAAUGAUUGUCAGCUAACAUGAUUCCAUGGACACUACCACAAUAGCAGGUGCUGCUGUGUCGUCAAGUGCCCGAAGAGAGUUAAGUGGAUGGAUUUGUUGGCUUAUGGCUAUAUACCGAAGUGUGUGCAAGGCUUUUAAAUAUUAAAGUUAGGUAUACAAAAUAAACAAAAAUUUCCUAAAAGAUUUCAUCUGCUUCAUAAGCCUAAGAAUAGUAGAAAAAAUUAUCUGUAUAUUAAUUACAAUAUUAUUAUAAAAAGUAGGCCUAACUGGGCUGAUAUUCUAAUGUAAGAGUUUAGAACAUGAUGUGAUGGCAAAGGUAGUUUGGACUGCACAUGCUCAUAUUAAAAGGCAAUGAUACACAAACAUUUAACAAACACAACAUAGGCCUCCAUGUUGGCAAGGCCUUUUGAAUCGUCUACAAUUAGGAAGCUAUUACAAAACAGUUUUCAUCUUUACGAUAAAUAUUAGAUAUAUGAUGCAAUUAUCCUUCAAACUAUGUGUCAUAAUUCACUAUAUUCAGACAAUUCUGAAGGCUGUGUCAACCCUGAGGCCUUGCUAGGCCUAGCCUAUGUUGUGUGUGUUAAAUGGUUGUUUAUGUCUAUUGACUUUCAACAUGCAUAAUUUUAUGUGCAGUUAAAAAUAUGAAGGCUCAAAUAGGUAAAUACUGAAGGUAAAACAUUAUUGACUACUUAAAUAUGUAGAUUUAUUAUUUGCACUUUGAUAUAAAUCAUUAAUUAAAUAAUUGCAAAUAUCUUCUUUACAAGAGCAAUCACAUUAUAAAGUUUUAUACCAAAGUUUUCCUAAAAGAAUUAAAAAUAAAUUUUGUUUAUAAAAUGUUUAAAAUGUAAAAAUGCAUUGCAAAUCCUUACAUGAUUUGUUCACUUUAAAUGAUCAAAAUUGUUAGUCAUUAUUCAUCUAAAUCUGAUCCCAACACUUAUAAAAUGAAAAGUGGUAAAUAUUAAGAGAUUAUUUACAAAUUAACUUUAUAUACUAGAUUAUUAUUUGUUUUCAUAAAAACUUGUUUAAAAAUUUGGUCUGUUUACCCUGUACAUAUAAAACCAUGGUAAAAUGUGUUGUUUAAAAUGUUUAGAUUAUCUAAUACAGCACUGAUCUAAUAAUAUCAGGGAUUUGGUAAUCUACUAUCCCAUAGUAGUACCUGACCAUCUAAGAAUAAUGUUUUC